UUGAACCUGAGAGUUUGAUCCUGGCUCAGAACGAACGCUGGCGGCAUGCCUAACACAUGCAAGUCGAACGAAGGCUUCGGCCUUAGUGGCGCACGGGUGAGUAACACGUGGGAACCUGCCUUUCGGUUCGGGAUAACGUCUGGAAACGGACGCUAACACCGGAUACGUCCCCCAGAGAGAUUUGGGCGGAGAAAGUUUACGCCGAGAGAGGGGCCCGCGUCCGAUUAGGUAGUUGGUGGGGUAAUGGCCCACCAAGCCGACGAUCGGUAGCUGGUCUGAGAGGAUGAUCAGCCACACUGG
rnacentral:rRNA from 1 species